rnacentral:tRNA from 1 species
GCCCCUGUGGCUCAGCGGUAGAGCAGCUCACUCGUAAUGAGCAGAUCGUCGGUUCGAUUCCGACCAGGGGCU